CAGGAUUCCGGGGACUGGAGGGCAGCGCUGGCAGCCAAGAUGCAACUUCUCCAGGAGUGCUUAUGUUACCCAAAGAGAAACAGAUGCACAAAGAGAAGGAAUGAGAUGCUCGGGGAUAUUUUAUCAAGGAAACCAGCAAACCAUCUUUUUCCUGAAGACCUUUUAAGAUUAGGACAAGCAGCUGUUUAUAAAAGCAGAACAGUGUUAAGAUUUGAACUGUCAAGUAGGAUCAUGCUUUGAAGUAUAUUCCUGGCUAAAAGCAGGGGAUAAACUAGAUAAAACUUGGAGACUCUAAGACCUGUCCCUGAUUAAAUGGGCCUACAAGUGAGAAUCUGAAGAACAGCUCUCUGGCUGAACAUAUCCCUUGGAUGUUGUUAUUACCAGCUGCCUCUAGAUUUGAGAACAGUGCUGAGCAUGCUUUUAAAUGAUCUUUGAGGUACUUUAAGCUACCUACAGCUGAAAGCAUACCUAACCCUCAUUUCUGUUUGCUUGAACAAGAGCCUGAAAAAGAAGUCUAAAGAACUUUCUAGUGAUAUCCUUCACUCCUGUUCUAAAAAGAACCUGUGUUCUUCACCGAGUUAAGGAAAUUUCACAACUCCCAGGGGCUAAUGUGCAGUUCAUUUUCACUUACUGCUGAAUCAACUGAAGUUCCUUUCAGAGUCUUUUCCUAGAGUGGAAAAGUAUCUGAGCUCUUCAACCUACUAUUCAUUAGUGCUGAGAG
rnacentral:sRNA from 1 species